rnacentral:rRNA from 1 species
AUACGGAGGGUGCAAGCGUUGUUCGGAAUUAUUGGGCGUAAAGCGCGCGUAGGCGGCUUGGCAAGUCGGAUGUGAAAGCCCGGGGCUCGACCCCGGAAUUGCAUUCGAAACUGCCAGGCUAGAGUCUCGGAGAGGAGGGCGGAAUUCCCGGUGUAGAGGUGAAAUUCGUAGAUAUCGGGAGGAACACCAGUGGCGAAGGCGGCCCUCUGGACGAUGUCUGACGCUGAGGUGCGAAAGCGUGGGGAGCAAACAGGAUUAGAUACCCCAGUAGUCC